rnacentral:rRNA from 1 species
CGAACGCUGGCGGCGUGCUUAACACAUGCAAGUCGAACGAUGAAGCCUUUCGGGGUGGAUUAGUGGCGAACGGGUGAGUAACACGUGGGCAAUCUGCCCUUCACUCUGGGACAAGCCCUGGAAACGGGGUCUAAUACCGGAUAACACUCUGUCCCGCAUGGGACGGGGUUAAAAGCUCCGGCGGUGAAGGAUGAGCCCGCGGCCUAUCAGCUUGUUGGUGGGGUAAUGGCCUACCAAGGCGACGACGGGUAGCCGGCCUGAGAGGGCGACCGGCCACACUGGGACUGAGACACGGCCCAGACUCCUACGGGAGGCAGCAGUGGGGAAUAUUGCACAAUGGGCGAAAGCCUGAUGCAGCGACGCCGCGUGAGGGAUGACGGCCUUCGGGUUGUAAACCUCUUUCAGCAGGGAAGAAGCGAAAGUGACGGUACCUGCAGAAGAAGCGCCGGCUAACUACGU